AACGAACGCUGGCGGCAUGCCUAACACAUGCAAGUCGAACGAGACCAUCGGGCAGCUUGGCGCACCGCUGCGUAACGCGUGGCAACCUGCCAUUGUGUUCGGAAUAACUCGCUGAAGGGGGUGCUCUUCUCGAAACAGGUGCUCGUACCACAGAUCUACCGCAUUUGGAUGGGCGCGCGUUGGAUUAGCUAGUUGGUAGGGUAAAAGCGUACCAAGGCGACGAUCAAUAGCUGGUCUGAGAGGAUGAGCAGCCACACCGGGACUGAGACACGGCGCGGACUCCUACGGGAGGCAGGAGAGGGGGAUAGAGGAAAGUGGGCGGUAGGCUGAUGCAGCAAGGCCGGGAGAGUGAUGAAGGCCGUAGGGUAGGAAAGAACGUUUACCCGGGAUGAUAUUGACGUUACCGGGAGAAGAAGCUCCGGCUAACUCCGUG
rnacentral:rRNA from 1 species